AGUUUNNNNAUGGCUCAGGACGAACGCUGGCGGCGUGCUUAACACAUGCAAGUCGAACGAUGAAGCCCUUCGGGGUGGAUUAGUGGCGAACGGGUGAGUAACACGUGGGCAAUCUGCCCUUCACUCUGGGACAAGCCCUGGAAACGGGGUCUAAUACCGGAUAACACUCCUGCCGGCAUGGGUGGGGGUUGAAAGCUCCGGCGGUGAAGGAUGAGCCCGCGGCCUAUCAGCUUGUUGGUGAGGUAGAAGCUCACCAAGGCGACGACGGGUAGCCGGCCUGAGAGGGCGACCGGCCACACUGGGACUGAGACACGGCCCAGACUCCUACGGGAGGCAGCAGUGGGGAAUAUUGCACAAUGGGCGAAAGCCUGAUGCAGCGACGCCGCGUGAGGGAUGACGGCCUUCGGGUUGUAAACCUCUUUCAGCAG
rnacentral:rRNA from 1 species